GAGCGUACACCUGAGAACUACACUUCUGCUGUUGAUCGCCUCCAAACUGAAGAAAUGGAUGAUGCACAUAAUGACAGCGUACGUAGUGCCGUUACCAGAGUGCUGCCAGAACUCCCAACUUCAAUUACGGAUAUUUUGGUGGAAACCCUACAAUCAUUGGGGGUGGAGACAAAUGAAGAUUUUACCUUUGUACAAGAAAGUGAUCUGCUGUCAGUACUCAGACCAGUUCAAGCAAGGAAAUUGGUUGCUGCCUGGAAAAAAACCACACAGAACACUGAAAUCUGCAGUCAGCCAGCAUUAUCCUCUCCAUCUACCUCAUCAGGCUCCUCAUUACAAGCCUCACCUUCUGACAGCCACCAGAUUACUGGUCCAGACUGGAUUGACUACUUUGACAUUCCAUGGAAAGUUCUUCCAGAAGAACUGAUCCAGUGUUUGGAGAGGGAGAAAAGGCCAAAGCCACGGCUGCGUAGAGAAAUGAUUCGGAUUGUUGUUUCAGAGAUGAUGAAGGUAUGUCCAUCCCCAAGCAAGAAGGCCUGUGUAGAAGUUGCCAAAAAAUGGUUGCAAAGUAUCAAAGGUCUUUGCAAGAUGCCAUUGAAGGCGUUGUUGUGGGACCAGGCUAUCAUUCCCUUGUGAAACAGUUACAAACCAGAGUUGACAAUGUAAAGCGGUCCUCAACACCUGUGAUGACAAAACGCAAAAAAGUGUCAGAUGAAUAUGACACGGACGAGAUUCCAGCAGAACAAAGGGCAGCAGUACAAGAUACUUAGGGCUGCGUGAAAUGGGACAUGAAGUUCCUUCCAGUUAUUGAGACACCAGAAACCCAGCAAAAGAAGAAAGAUGAAAUGAAGGGGCUUAGUGAACAGUUGAACUUCAGUAUUCACGAGGUGAAAAGUCUUAUGAAGAGCACCUACUACUCACAACGGAAAGAAAUAAAUAAAGGGACAGAACUGCAAACCCUCUUGGAGGAGUGGCCUUUUUUGUUUCAGGAAAUUGGCAUGGCAGUCCACUUUGAGGAGCUAACUGGAAUACCACUGAAGGAAACUUUCCUCUGUAACGUAGAAAAAAAGGGAGAGCGGCUUCUGAACUUUAUGAGAACUGUUUGUGCAGAAAAAAGCAGAAACAUUUUGCAACUUGUCACAAACCUGCACAUUCUGAAAGGACAAAAUGAUGACCGCUCAGAAGAUCUAAAAGACAAGAUACUCCUUCUUCUCUGCUAUUUUGAUGAAAAAGAAGAGAACCUCUUUCAUUACGUGGAAGAAACCUUUCUGGCAAAAGAAGUACAUGUGGAAAGCCUGCCAGUCACACCAUGCAUCGUUGU